rnacentral:lncRNA from 1 species
AGGGAAAUGCAGCCUCCCUAGCACUGCAUUGGGUGAAUUUAAGACCAAUCCCAUAUAAGGUAGUAGAGGGUGUGGUCCCUCUCCUCACAGGAUUGGUCCAUUUAAGACCCCUCCCAUACCAGGAAGGAGGGGGGAGGGACCCCUGGGGCAUACUGGGGAACGCAGUUCCCUUGGCCACAAUAUUUUAAAACCCACACUUGAUCUAGCUUGAUCUCUUUAGGGAGUUCUUUGUAGGAACUGGGAGAGAGGGCUACAGCUGGCAGUGUGCACUGAUACUCUUAUUCAAAGUUCACAUCACUUGGACUUUGAGUGUUUUGGGACUACCAGGUAGAAGCUCAGUAGGAGAGACUGUGGGAGAUUGCCUUGGAAUGUCUUUUCUGCUUGAUUCACUGGGGAUAGUCACUAUGAAGGAGACCAUAAGGACCCAGCAGAGAAGGGCUCCCAUUCUUCCGGUUCUUGAAUAACAACACCUGCAGCUCGUGUAGACAUGGGACUUCAAGCUGUGCACAUUGUCCAAUAAGUUUGUGGAUGGAAAGAGGGAAACAAGGAAGGAAAGAAGGAAACAAGCAUAUAUUAGUACCUACUACGUGGUCAGUCCUCAGCAAGCACUUUAUAAUGUUAUUUCAGUUGAUCCUUACAACAGCUCUGGGCCUAUCUAUAUCACAAAAACUGGAUGAGAUCAGACUCAUGAACCUCAUGUCUUGAUAAUGAUCCUGAAGGAUGAUUUAGAUUAUGAAAGACAAGGCACCUUGGUCAGCCUUGGCUGCCCAGAUGUCCAUGAUUAAGCCAUAGAACCUCCAGGGUCUCCAGGCAACUCUCUACCAAUCUCAAUUACAAAAGAGGGAC